rnacentral:rRNA from 1 species
UUCGGGCCUUGGGUAGCGCAGCUAACGCGUGAAGUUGACCGCCUGGGGAGUACGGUCGCAAGAUUAAAACUCAAAGGAAUUGACGGGGACCCGCACAAGCGGUGGAUGAUGUGGAUUAAUUCGAUGCAACGCGAAAAACCUUACCUACCCUUGACAUGUCUGGAAUGCCGAAGAGAUUUGGCAGUGCUCGCAAGAGAACCGGAACACAGGUGCUGCAUGGCUGUCGUCAGCUCGUGUCGUGAGAUGUUGGGUUAAGUCCCGCAACGAGCGCAACCCUUGUCAUUAGUUGCUACGAAAGGGCACUCUAAUGAGACUGCCGGUGACAAACCGGAGGAAGGUGGGGAUGACGUCAAGUCCUCAUGGCCCUUAUGGGUAGGGCUUCACACGUCAUACAAUGGUCGGGACAGAGGGUCGCCAACCCGCGAGGGGGAGCCAAUCCCAGAAACCCGAUCGUAGUCCGGAUCGCAGUCUGCAACUCGACUGCGUGAAGUCGGAAUCGCUAGUAAUCGCGGAUCAGCAUGUCGCGGUGAAUACGUUCCC